UACGAAGGGGGCUAGCGGUGUUCGGGAGCACUGGGCGUAAAGCGCGCGCCGGCGGAUCGAUAAGUCGGGGGUGAAAGCCCGGGGCUCAACCUCGGAAUUGCCUUCGAUACUGUCGGUCUCGAGUCCGGGAGAGGUGAGUGGAAUUCCUAGUGUAGAGGUGAAAUUCGUAGAUAUUAGGAAGAACACCAGUGGCGAAGGCGGCUCACUGGCCCGGUACUGACGCUCAGGUGCGAAAGCGUGGUGAGCAAACAGG
rnacentral:rRNA from 1 species